rnacentral:rRNA from 1 species
GACGAACGCUGGCGGCGUGCUUAACACAUGCAAGUCGAACGGAAAGGCCCUGCUCUUGUGGGGUGCUCGAGUGGCGAACGGGUGAGUAACACGUGAGUAACCUGCCCUUGACUUUGGGAUAACUUCAGGAAACUGGGGCUAAUACCGGAUAGGAGCUCCUGCUGCAUGGUGGGGGUUGGAAAGUUUCGGCGGUUGGGGAUGGACUCGCGGCUUAUCAGCUUGUUGGUGGGGUAGUGGCUUACCAAGGCUUUGACGGGUAGCCGGCCUGAGAGGGUGACCGGCCACAUUGGGACUAAGAUACGGCCCAGACUCCUACGGGAGGCAGCAGUGGGGAAUAUUGCACAAUGGGCGGAAGCCUGAUGCAGCAACGCCGCGUGCGGGAUGACGGCCUUCGGGUUGUAAACCGCUUUCGCCUGUGACGAAGCGUGAGUGACGGUAAUGGGUAAAGAAGCACCGGCUAACUACGUG